rnacentral:rRNA from 1 species
AGAGUUUGAUUCUGGCUCAGGAUGAACGCUAGCGACAGGCUUAACACAUGCAAGUCGAGGGGCAGCAUAAAAGUAGCAAUACUUGGUGGCGACCGGCGCACGGGUGAGUAACGCGUAUGCAACCUACCUAUCAGAGGGGAAUAACCCGGCGAAAGUCGGACUAAUACCGCAUAAAACAGGGGCACCGCAUGGUGAUAUUUGUUAAAGAAAUUCGCUGAUAGAUGGGCAUGCGUUCCAUUAGGUAGUUGGUGAGGUAACGGCUCACCAAGCCGACGAUGGAUAGGGGAACUGAGAGGUUGGUCCCCCACACUGGUACUGAGACACGGACCAGACUCCUACGGGAGGCAGCAGUGAGGAAUAUUGGUCAAUGGGCGGGAGCCUGAACCAGCCAAGUCGCGUGAAGGAAGAAGGAUCUAUGGUUCGUAAACUUCUUUUGCAGGGGAAUAAAGUGCAGGACGUGUCCUGUUUUGUAUGUACCCUGAGAAUAAGGAUCGGCUAACUCCGUGCCAGCAGCCGC